UACGGAGGGUGCAAGCGUUAUCCGGAUUCACUGGGUUUAAAGGGUGCGUAGGUGGGCAGGUAAGUCAGUGGUGAAAUCUCCGAGCUUAACUCGGAAACUGCCAUUGAUACUAUCUGUCUUGAAUAUCCUGGAGGUGAGCGGAAUAUGUCAUGUAGCGGUGAAAUGCUUAGAUAUGACAUAGAACACCAAUUGCGAAGGCAACUCACUACGGGAUUAUUGACACUGAGGCACGAAAGCGUGGGGAUCAAACAGG
rnacentral:rRNA from 1 species